rnacentral:lncRNA from 1 species
GUUGCAUCAUCCUAUAACUCAUACAAUCCGACAUCUCCGCACUUGACCAAUGCUUGAAAUUCUUGAGAAGGAAUUCUACAGCAUGAGACUCUAUCUUGAUCAUCCUACCAUCUGGGUGUUCACCAUACAUCAUAUAGCCCUUUGAGUUUCAGAGUACCCGAUGAACACCAGCUUGCUUGCUCUAGGGCCAACUUUUUUGAAUCUAUGUAAAGAGCUAUGAACAUAUCUAGCCGAACCCCAAUGACGUAAAUAGUGUAAACUCGGCUUCAUGCCACUCCAUAACUUAUGCGGGAC